rnacentral:rRNA from 1 species
CUUGAAUCCCUAUAAGAGGUCCAGCCUGCCCAGUGACUUUGUUCAACGGCCGCGGUAUCCUAACCGUGCGAAGGUAGCGUAAUCACUUGUCUUUUAAAUGAGGACUUGUAUGAAUGGCAUCACGAGGGUUAUACUGUCUCCUUUCUCUAAUCAGUGAAACUAAUCUUCCCGUGAAGAAGCGGGAAUAGAUAUAUAAGACGAGAAGACCCUAUGGAGCUUUAAACUCAAUAACAAAUACUAACCUCACUUUAACUCCCAGAACAUUGACACUAAUCCUAGUAUUAUGAUUAUUAGUUUUAGGUUGGGGUGACCGCGGAGUAAAAAUUAACCUCCACAUUGAACAGGACCUUUCCUUGAGCUAAGAACUACAACUCUAAGCACCAACAAAUUGACAUUAAUUGACCCAAUACUUUGAUCAACGAAC